AGGAGUGGGCGGGGCCAGAAGAUGAGUGACGGGUUACUACGGCCUAUGAGCGGGAGAGCUACUGGUUGCUUAGUGACUGCGGCUGUGCCUACCCAUAAUCCCAUGCGCUCCCCUCCAGUAUAUACAGGAGGGGGAGUAUAUAGAGGAACACAGGGGUCUGUACAAGGACGUGAUGAUGGAGAAUCACCGGCCCCUCACAUCACUGGAUGGACCCAGUAACAGAGAUACCCCAGAGAGAUGUCCCCGUCCUCUGUAUUCCCAGGAUUGUACAGAGGAGAAUCACAGGACCCCACAGGAGGAUC